AUUCUACUUGGAUAACUGUGGUAAUUCUAGAGCUAAUACAUGCUUCAAUAUUUCCGACCUUAACGGGGAGGAAGGCUUUUAUUAGACCAGAACCUAUUCGGUGCCGCGGGUUCGCGCUCGCGAGUGCCGGUUUCUUGGUGACUCUGAAUAACUUUGGGCUGAUCGCACGGUCUUUGCACCGGCGACGGGUCUUUCAAAUGUCUGACUUAUCAACUGUCGAUGGUAGGUUAUGCGCCUACCAUGGUUGUCACGGGUAACGGGGAAUCAGGGUUCGAUUCCGGAGAGGGAGCCUGAGAAACGGCUACCACAUCCAAGGAAGGCAGCAGGCGCGCAAAUUACCCACUCCCGGCACGGGGAGGUAGUGACGAAAAAUAACAAUACGGGACUCAUCCGAGGCCCCGUAAUUGGAAUGAGUACACUUUAAAUCCUUUAACGAGGAUCCAUUGGAGGGCAAGUCUGGUGCCAGCAGCCGCGGUAAUUCCAGCUCCAAUAGCGUAUAUUAAAGUUGCUGCGGUUAAAAAGCUCGUAGUUGGAUCCCAGUUGCAGACGGGCGGUCCGCCUCAUGGCGGUUCACUGCCCCGUUCUCGACAUACCUCCGGUUAUAUUUGUCCCGCGAUGCUCUUUACCGGGUGUCGCGGGGGGCCGGUACGUUUACUUUGAAAAAAUUAGAGUGCUCAAAGCAGGCGAUGGCCAGAAUAAUGGUGCAUGGAAUAAUGGAAUAGGACCUCGGUUCUAUCUUGUUGGUUCUUCGGAACACGAGGUAAUGAUUAAUAGGGACGGACGGGGGCAUUCGUAUUGCGACGUUAGAGGUGAAAUUCUUGGAUCGUCGCAAGACGAACUACUGCGAAAGCAUUUGCCAAGAAUGUUUUCGUUAAUCAAGAACGAAAGUUAGAAGGUUCGAAAGCGAUCAGAUACCGCCCUAGUUCUAACCAUAAACGAUGCCAACCAGCGAUCCGUCGGCGUUACUUCGAAUGACCCGACGAGCAGCUUCCGGGAAACCAAAGUUUCUGGGUUCCGGGGGAAGUAUGGUUGCAAAGCCGAAACUUAAAGGAAUUGACGGAAGGGCACCACCAGGAGUGGAGCCUGCGGCUUAAUUUGACUCAACACGGGAAACCUCACCAGGCCCGGACACUUGGAGGAUUGACAGAUUGAGAGCUCUUUCUUGAUUCAGUGGGUGGUGGUGCAUGGCCGUUCUUAGUUGGUGGAGCGAUUUGUCUGGUUAAUUCCGAUAACGAACGAGACCCUUUCCUGC
rnacentral:rRNA from 1 species